GAUGAAGAACGUAGCGAAAUGCGAUAAGUAAUGUGAAUUGCAGAAUUCAGUGAAUCAUCGAAUCUUUGAACGCACAUUGCGCCCGCCAGCAUUCUGGCGGGCAUGCCUGUUCGAGCGUCAUUUCAACCCUCAAGCUCUGCUUGGUGUUGGGGCCCUACGGUUGACGUAGGCCCUUAAAGGUAGUGGCGGACCCUCUCGGAGCCUCCUUUGCGUAGUAACUAACGUCUCGCAUUGGGAUUCGGAGGGACUCUUGCCGUAAAACCCCCAAAUUUUCUAAUGGUUGACCUCGGAUCAGGUAGCAAUACCCGCUGAACUUAAGCAUAUCAAUAAGCGGAGGA
rnacentral:misc_RNA from 1 species